rnacentral:lncRNA from 1 species
UUCCUUUGUACCAAACAAAGAGUCCGCAUGGAUUUAAAUGUGAACGCAGCAGGAAACCUUGUCUUGCAUCCACAAUCUCCUUGGGGAAGGAAGGCACAUGGUAGGUAUAAACUUCGAUGGUUGGAUUGGUUAUACACCGAGUCUGCUUCGAAGAUUUGGCGUCAGGUUUGUCAUUUGUGGUGCCAAGUUUGUCCAAUAAUUCAAUGUUCAGUGGAUUAUAAUUGGGAAGCG